rnacentral:rRNA from 1 species
AACGAACGCUGGCGGCAUGCCUAACACAUGCAAGUCGAACGAGACCUUCGGGUCUAGUGGCGCACGGGAGCGUAACGCGUGGGAACCUGCCCUUAGGUUCGGAAUAACUCCCCGAAAGGGGUUCUAAUACCGGAUACUGUCUUCGGACCAAAGAUUUAUCGCCUUUGGAUGGGCCCGCGUUGGAUUAGCUAGUUGGUAGGGUAAAAGCCUACCAAGGCGACGAUCCAUAGCUGGUCUGAGAGGAUGAUCAGCCACACUGGGACUGAGACACGGCCCAGACUCCUACGGGAGGCAGCAGUGGGGAAUAUUGGACAAUGGGCGAAAGCCUGAUCCAGCAAUGCCGCGUGAGUGAUGAAGGCCUUAGGGUUGUAAAGCUCUUUUACCCGGGAAGAUAAUGACAGUACCGGGAGAAUAAGCCCCGGCUAACUCCGUG